ACCUGUAUGAAUGGCAUCACGAGGGCUUAACUGUCUCCCCUCCCCAGUCAAUGAAAUUGAUCUCCCCGUGCAGAAGCGGGGAUAAUACCAUAAGACGAGAAGACCCUAUGGAGCUUUAGACGUCAGAGCAGCCCAUGUAAAGCACCCCUUAACAAAGGAAAAAACCAAAUGAAGCCUGCCCUAAUGUCUUUGGUUGGGGCGACCGCGGGGAAAUACAAAACCCCCAUGUGGAGUAGGAAUACACAUUCCUAAACCCAAGAGCUCCCGCUCUAAUGAACAGAAAUUCUGACCAAUAAGAUCCGGCACACGCCGAUCAACGGACCGAGUUACCCUAGGGAUAACAGCGCAAUCCCCUUAAAGAGCCCUUAUCGACAAGGGGGUUUACGACCUCGAUGUUGGAUCAGGACAUCCUAAUGGUGCAGCCGCUAUUAAGGGUUCG
rnacentral:rRNA from 1 species